UUAAAAUUAUAAUGUUUCUAAUUUUUUUUUUCAAUUUUUUUUU
rnacentral:sRNA from 1 species